rnacentral:rRNA from 1 species
GACGAACGCUGGCGGCGUGCCUAACACAUGCAAGUCGAGCGAGUGAAUCUCCUUCGGGAGUGAAGCUAGCGGCGGACGGGUGAGUAACACGUGGGCAACCUGCCUCAUAGAGGGGAAUAGCCUUUCGAAAGGAAGAUUAAUACCGCAUAAGAUUGUAGCUUCGCAUGAAGUAGCAAUUAAAGGAGCAAUCCGCUAUGAGAUGGGCCCGCGGCGCAUUAGCUAGUUGGUGAGGUAACGGCUCACCAAGGCGACGAUGCGUAGCCGACCUGAGAGGGUGAUAGGCCACAUUGGGACUGAGACACGGCCCAGACUCCUACGGGAGGCAGCAGUGGGGAAUAUUGCACAAUGGGGGAAACCCUGAUGCAGCAACGCCGCGUGAGUGAUGACGGCCAUCGGGUUGUAAAGCUCUGUCUUCAGGGACGAUAAUGACGGUACCUGAGGAGGAAGCCACGGCUAACUACGUGCCAGCCGCCGCGGUAAAAC